GCAAAUAGCGUGCUGCUCCAAGGGCAAAGCCUGUCCCUCUUUUGGCUGGACACCUUUCUGUGCCAAGAGGCUCUGCCAGGCAGCAGGAGCAGUGCUGGGCUGCUUCCUGGCAGGCCCCUCCAGCAGGAGAACGCUUGCUGCGCUGGCAUCGAGGUUUUCCACAGCAAGAUGACCAUUUUGCUGUCAAGUUCAGCAAAGAAGCAGUGUCCUGGGGAGCUGCACGGCAUUGCCCAUUCAUGCUGCACUUGAUGGAUAGCAAAGAGAACAGGAGUGCACCAUCCAAAAGGGCAGCAGGGCUGCCUUCCCAUUAAUAUUCCCAUGUAUCCUUUUGGGGAGCUCUAGGGGUAAAAAUCACCAAGUCAGGAACUUGUUACCUACCGAGCCUGGAAAUUGUUACCUUACAGAUGCGGCAAUGUUGAUGUAAGGCAUUGCGAUACUACAGGCUUUGCAAAAUAAUCUGUCUCCUGGAAAUGAGGCUAAGAUUAAACACACAUCUCUCUUUAUAGACCAGUGACUAUGUGUCAAGGGCAGCAUCUUUUGUUCACUGACCUGUAACAUGAUUUGUAAAUGCAUUUGUCUCGUUUUAUGUUCCUGUGUGUCCUUUGAGAGCUUUUCUAGUAUACUGGCACCCAUGUAAAUACACUUGGUGAAGCAAGCACCUUGAUUAGAUUUUGGCUUGUGUAUGUAUUUUAUCCUAAAUUACUUCUUCCAAACAACCACAUUUUCUUGCCUGUCCAAUAUAAAAACUUGCUUCACACGCUGUUGCUCUGGUGCCAAAUUACUUCAGCUUUAACUCUCCCACAGAAACAUUUGUGUGCAGAAUUGGUUUUGUGCAUGCUUUAAAACUGCAUCGUGCAGUAAACUCACUGUUCAGUGAAUUCUAGAAUUUAUUUAGCAAAAAAAAAGUGUGAAAAAAUGUAAAUAUGAAACAAUUAUAUGUCAUUUAAGAGCUAAAGCUAAACCUCAUCCUGAUUCACCAGAAAAAUUUUGUCUAACAAAAAGCCCAUAUGUAAUGGUGUACUGUAAUAAUGACAUAAAGGAAAGACAGAAACUUUUAUUCUUUCUUAACAUAAAUUAAAAUAACAAUUUCUGAAAGUCAAGUCCAUGAUUGCUUCUGCUUAAGUUUAGUCUUCUUUAAGAACAGCAAAAAAUUUUCACUAAAUUCCUCCCUCUCCUUCCAUGACUUCUUGAAACUCUGAAGGAAGAAGGUUUUAGAUAAGCUGUUAGAUAAUUUUUCCAUAGCCAAAUAAUUAUCUUUUGUUUAGAAUCUGUAAACAAAUGAAAUUGGGUUCUUUUUUAAUCUAUGUUGCC
ensembl:lncRNA